AGCAGCCGACAGGAUUACACUAUCCACCGAGACAAAUAAUACAGAAAGAACGUGAGUAUUCGGAAAGAGUCUUUUGAAAAACAGACCCGAAUUGUACCUGCUGUGGAAGAGAGGAGACACCCGGUCCCUCCAGUGACAGUAGCUAUGAGGUGUGCCCUGGUCUGCCGAAGGAGCAGGAAACGAACUUGUAAUCAAGGAUUACAAUCAAGGCUUAUAAUCAAGGUCAUCGUGCAGAUAAUGCACACGGGAGGGAAUCGAUGACCCUGUCCUGUCCUGUGAGAUGCCAAGUCAGAGAUGUUGAAGUGGUACCUGGUGGUGACAGCAGUGGUCGGGUACUUCAGACAUGCUCAGAGAGAGCAGGGCAGAGAGACCUAGAGUUCCCUGGUCCCACCAUACUCACAGGCAAAUUUGAAAAGGACAACCAACUCUUAUGACACAUCUUAAUGCUAGCAGUGAACUAGUUUGUGAUGGCCCCUCAAAGCCCCCUGAGGGGAGGUCAGAGAAGAUGAAGGUCUGGGGCAGGACAAGAGUCCUAAUCUGAAAGAAUAACAAGAAGUGGCUGCAGUCCAUAGCCCUCAGCAUGGUGGCUAGCAGGCCCUAAGGUUUCUGUAACGCUGAUGAUGAUGUGGGUCACUAGUGGUACAACCCAGGGGCAGGCCCCUGAGUGCCCUUCAUUUGAGUGCUGGAAUUCUGUGACAAUAAGGUGCAGAGUCCUGGAUUUCUGGAGCUUUGGGCCAGUUAUUCUCAGAGACCUGAUAAUGCUGGAGAUCUUACGAUGCCCAAAAGCUCUCCCUGGAGAUCCUCUACAGAGAGACAAAGCAGAGCAAAAGCGCAUAGCGUGGGACACUGCCCGACCAGGAAACCUCCUCUUCACCCUCACUUACAACUCCAGAUACUCCAGAGACUGAGUUACAUGUAUGGAGCCGAGAUGGGAACAUAUGGAGAAGGCCCCUAAGUGUUCUAGCUCCCCCCCUCUCCCUCUAUUGUCUAAAACUGGUCUGACCUGACCCCUCCCCCAUUAGCUUCUCCGUGCCCCCCAGUAUUCUUCUAUAGUAUUCAUAUGCUACCUCACAGGAAGCAGGAUGCCCAGUCAGGCUUUGCUAUGCCCCAACUCCUGUUUCCUCUUCUCAGGUCAAGAAAGACACAGCCUUACAUCCCAUGACUACCAGAAGCACAUCCUCCUCCACCCAACACUACGCAGCCAGCCCACACCUAGGGCCCUACCUUUGAACUUCUUCAGCAAUCCUUUUAAGACGAAACUCUUGAGGGAAACAUUCCACACUUUAUUCUUCAUCUCAGAUGAGACUGUGGUUGGCUUGGAGCCGGGCACGCUGCUGCACCUGCAGGACAAGACCCCAAAGAAAGUCCCGAGAACACCAAUCCACUCCUACUGCCCUACAAUAACUGGUGCUAUAGCUUAGAUACAGGUAGUCCUGUGUUAAAGGCUUGACUGCCGGCUUGUGUUCCUAUUAGAAGAUAUCACAACUUUUAGGAGGUGGGGCUUGUGGUAGGGAGUUUACAUGAUUGGAGAAUUUGCCUUUGAAGAGAAUUUCAUCAAGCAGACAAUCUUAUCCAUUCCCCUCCACUCCAUCUUCCCAGUUGCUCCCAGCAAGAGAAAACGGAAAACCCAACUUUACACGGGGAUUCCCACGGCUGGAGUCUGGUUGUUCUCCAGCAGUGUUUUCUAACACCUCGGGCAAAUGCUUCAAGGCUCUGACUGAGCCAGCGUCACCUGGAGGAAGUCUAGGUCCGGCUUCUGAGCUGUCUCCUGGAUCUGGCAGCUGAGUUUGGACAGCUGAGUGAUCUCACCCUCCAGCUGGGCCAGGUUCUCAUUCUGUUUCUGUGUCACUUCCCGGGACAGCACCUCCAGUCGGCUUAGAAGCCGACCCUCCUGCUCCACCAGAAAGGCCCGCAGCGCUUGGAACUCCGCCCCUACCUUCUCUUUCUCUGCUGCCAUCUGCUUCUGUCUCGGGAAGAGGAGAUGUGGGCACGCGACUUAGAGGGGAAAGCACUUGGGCAUGACAUUAAGACAGGACUUUGAGGAGGCAUCCUUCAGGUCAGGGCUGCUUCCCCAGGGAGACACACCCAUACAUGCAUACUGUACACAUUAAUAGCCCGACUCUGUACAAACCAGAGCCUCAACACAUGCUGCUCUCUCCCCUGCCACACACGUCCUCUGGCAUCUCUUAAAACGUGGGCUCUACAAUCUUUGGGCAUCUUCAACUCCUCCCAACUACCUCAAGCUGCAAUUUCCUUUUGUAAAACAUGGGAGAGACCGCGGCAGUGGUGGCGCGCACGCCUUUAAUCCCAGCACUUGGGAGGCAGAGGCAGGCAGAUUUCUGAGUUCGAGGCCAGCCUGGGCCUGGUCUACAGAGUGAGUUCCAGGACAGCCAGGGCUACACAGAGAAACCCUGUCUCAAAAAAAACAAACAAAAAACAUGAGCGAGGUAAAUUAGCACCUGCAGGGUACUAAUUAAUUAAUCAAUUGUGAGGAUUAAGUCAAAAGUUGUCUUUUCUUUUUUAUAUAUUUAUUUAGUCACGUCUCACCCUAUUUGCAUCUUAUUUUAGAGAUGAGAUUUCACGGUGUAGUCUUGGCUGGUCUGGAGGUUUCUAUGUAGACCAGGAUAGCCUUGAACUCACAGAUUAUCUGCCUGCCUCCUCAGUGCUGGGAUUAAAGGUGUGUGUCCCUGUGCCUGGUCCAUCCUUGGUGGGUUUCUCUGUGUAGCCCUCGCUGUUCUGAAACUGUCCCUGGAGACCAGCCUGGCCUUGCACUCACAGAUCCUCCUGCCUCUGCCUCCCCAGUGCUGGGAUUAAAGGCAAGCGUAACAAAGCCCAGAUUUUUUUUCUUUCUCUCUUUUUAAGGCGCUAUUUUGGCUUCAAUUCUGAUGGAAAGGUGGCUCCCUUUUGGUGAGUCAUUAAGCCAGCAGGGCUGUCUGACACAGUUCCAGCAAGGCUUAGCUGAACGCUGCAGUCGCUGACACUCUGUCUCUCCGUUGGGGGUUGGGUCUCUACACACUGCAUUCUUGGGGACUUUCUGCAUUAGGAUUCAUUUUAUGUCUUUUCCCAAGAAAAUUAUACCUGAGUCUUUUAAGGAAAGUUGUAAACACAACUUUAGCCACUAUUCAAAAGUCUUCCUUAUGCCCUGAAGAUCAUUAAACACAGAUAUGCACGUAGCUAGAAAUUUCUUUAUAAGGUCAUGAAUUACUCCAGGAAUCUUUCUGGGGUAUCCACCCCGGAGCAAAUUCAAGCAGUACACUUGGUGCAGAGUAAACAGAGGCCAUUGACAGACUGACUGGCCAGGAGAAUAGGUCACAGAUUUGAGGCCUCUUUUUUCAACACUUUUAGAACUCUCUGAAAAUGUAAAGAUAGGGGGUCAUACGUGGUAUAGCCAUGGAAGAAUCGAACUCAGUAAACAAGAUAGACACACUACAAUAAACGUUCCCUACUUUAUGGGGUCGACGAUGAGACAACACAGUAAAAGGUGGUAAGUAUUAGUAUUUGCCGCCCAGAAAAACACCUGCCCAGACAUUUUCUGCUUGUCUGGAGUGUUUUAAAACUACAAACACUGCCAGCCCGAAAGCAGACCAUUGUAUAAUAAACGGGUUUAUUUUAUAAUAAUAAUAAACGUGUUCGCUUUGGAGGAGACGUUCUUUAGAUUCUUUACAUUGGAGUUACAGGGCUGAUGAUAAAAAAUAAAAUCUGUUCUUUUUGUGCUUUC
ensembl:processed_transcript